AUGGAGCUUUAGACACCCGGCAGAUCACGUCAAAAACCUUGAACUAACAAGUAAAAACGCAGUGACCCCUGGCCCAUAUGUCUUUGGUUGGGGCGACCGCGGGGGAAAAUAAAGCCCCCAUGUGGACUGGGGGCACUGCCCCCACAGCCGAGAGCUACAGCUCUAAGCACCAGAAUUUCUGACCAAAAAUGAUCCGGCAAACGCCGAUCAACGGACCG
rnacentral:rRNA from 1 species